rnacentral:rRNA from 1 species
AGAUUAAGUUAUUAAGGGCGCACGGUGGAUGCCUUGGCACUAGAAGCCGAUGAAGGACGUUACUAACGACGAUAUGCUUUGGGGAGCUGUAAGUAAGCUUUGAUCCAGAGAUUUCCGAAUGGGGAAACCCAGCAUGAGUUAUGUCAUGUUAUCGAUAUGUGAAUACAUAGCAUAUCAGAAGGCACACCCGGAGAACUGAAACAUCUUAGUACCCGGAGGAAGAGAAAGAAAAUUCGAUUCCCUUAGUAGCGGCGAGCGAAACGGGAAGAGCCCAAACCAACAAGCUUGCUUGUUGGGGUUGUAGGACACUCUAUACGGAGUUACAAAGGACGACAUUAGACGAAUCAUCUGGAAAGAUGAAUCAAAGAAGGUAAUAAUCCUGUAGUCGAAAAUGUUGUCUCUCUUGAGUGGAUCCUGAGUACGACGGAGCACGUGAAAUUCCGUCGGAAUCUGGGAGGACCAUCUCCUAAGGCUAAAUACUCUCUAGUGACCGAUAGUGAACCAGUACCGUGAGGGAAAGGUGAAAAGCACCCCGGAAGGGGAGUGAAAUAGAACCUGAAACCGUGUGCUUACAAGUAGUCAGAGCCCGUUAAUGGGUGAUGGCGUGCCUUUUGUAGAAUGAACCGGCGAGUUACGAUUUGAUGCAAGGUUAAGCAGUAAAUGUGGAGCCGUAGCGAAAGCGAGUCUGAAUAGGGCGUUUAGUAUUUGGUCGUAGACCCGAAACCAGGUGAUCUACCCUUGGUCAGGUUGAAGUUCAGGUAACACUGAAUGGAGGACCGAACCGACUUACGUUGAAAAGUGAGCGGAUGAACUGAGGGUAGCGGAGAAAUUCCAAUCGAACCUGGAGAUAGCUGGUUCUCUCCGAAAUAGCUUUAGGGCUAGCCUCAAGUGAUGAUUAUUGGAGGUAGAGCACUGUUUGGACGAGGGGCCCCUCUCGGGUUACCGAAUUCAGACAAACUCCGAAUGCCAAUUAAUUUAACUUGGGAGUCAGAACAUGGGUGAUAAGG